rnacentral:rRNA from 1 species
CUACCUGCAAGUCGGAUGUGCCCGCAAGGGUGCAUGGCAGACGGGUGAGUAACGCGUGGGGAACCUACCUCUUUGUGGGGAAUAACGCUCCGAAAGGAGUGGUAAUACCGCAUGAGACCAUCGCCUGGGACGGUGAUGGUGAAACCUGGGGACCGAAAGGCCUGGGGCAAGGAGAGGGUCCUGCGUCUGAUUAGCUAGUUGGUGGGGUAACGGCCUACCAAGGCAACGAUCAGUAGCCGGCCUGAGAGGGUGAUCGGCCACACUGGAACUGAGAAACGGUCCAGACUCCUACGGGAGGCAGCAGUGGGGAAUUUUGCGCAAUGGGCGAAAGCCUGACGCAGCAACGCCGCGUGGGUGAUGAAGGUCUUCGGAUCGUAAAACCCUGUCGUCAGGGACGAAGGUUACAGGAAGAAUAUUCUUGUGACUUGACGGUACCUGGAGAGGAAGCCCCGGCUAACUCUGUGCCAGCAGCCGCGGUAAUACAGAGGGGGCAAGCGUUAUUCGGAAUUAUUGGGCGUAAAGGGCGCGUAGGCGGUUUUUUAAGUGAGAUGUGCAAUCCCCGAGCUUAACUUGGGAACUGCAUCUCAGACUGGAAGGCUAGAGUGCUGGAGAGGGUGGUGGAAUUCCACGUGUAGCGGUGAAAUGCGUAGAGAUGU